GGGCGUUUAGCUCAGUUGGGAGAGCGCCUGCCUUACAAGCAGGUGGUCGGGGGUUCAAGUCCCUCAACGCCCACCA
rnacentral:tRNA from 1 species